rnacentral:lncRNA from 1 species
CAGGUAAAGAACAACAACGGAAAUAACAGAAAAAACCGAAUUAACUGAAAUAAUAACGGAAAUAACGGAAAUAAUAACGGAAAUAACGAAAAUAUCCUCCAGGGAGACAGAAACAUACGGCAGAAAAUUAGGUGACAGGUAAAGAACAACAACGGAAAUAACGGAAAUAAGGGAAAUAACGGAAAUAAGGGAAAUAACGGAAAUAUCGGAAGUAACCUCCACAGAGACAGAAACAUACGGCAGAAAAUUAGGUGACAGGUCAAGAACCACAACGGAAACAACGGAAACAACGGAAACAACGGAAACAACGGAAACAACGGAAACAACCUCCUCAGAGACAGAAACAUAAGGCAGAAAAU